AGAGUUUGAUCCUGGCUCAGAACAAACGCUGGCGGCGUGUCUUAAGCAUGCAAGUUGAGCGGCAAGGAGGAGAGAUCCUCCCUAGAGCGGCGGACUGGUGAGUAACGCGUGGGUAAUCUAUCGUAGGCAUGGGGAUAGUCACUAGAAAUAGUGGGUAAUACCGAAUACGUUCCAUGAGGGGAGUAUUCAUGGAAGAAAGGGUGCUACGGCACUGGCCUUAGGUGAGCUCGCGUCCCAUUAGCUAGUUGGUGAGGUAAAGGCCCACCAAGGCGAUGAUGGGUAGCCGGCCUGAGAGGGUGUACGGCCACACUGGGACUGAGAUACGGCCCAGACUCCUACGGGAGGCAGCAGCUAAGAAUAUUCCGCAAUGGACGGAAGUCUGACGGAGCGACGCCGCGUGGAUGAAGAAGGCCGAAAGGUUGUAAAGUUCUUUUGCUAGGGGAGAAUAAGUGAGGGAGGGAAUGCCCUCAUGAUGACAAGGACUAGCGAAUAAGCCCCGGCCAACUACGUGCCAGCAGCCGCGGUAACACGUAGGGGGCGAGCGUUGUUCGGAAUUACUGGGCGUAAAGGGCAUGUAGGCGGCUUGGUAAGCCUGGCGUGAAAGUCUGCAGCUUAACUGUAGGGAUGCGUUGGGAACUGCUUAGCUUGAGUUACGGAGAGGGAGCUGGAAUUCCUGGUGUAGGGGUGAAAUCUGUAGAUAUCAGGAAGAACACCGAUGGCGAAGGCAAGCUUCUGGUCGAUAACUGACGCUGAGGUGCGAAAGUGUGGGGAUCAAACAGGAUUAGAUACCCUGGUAGUCCACACUGUAAACGAUGUGCACGAGGUGCUGGGGCGGUAGUUUCAGUGCCGGAGCGAACGCGGUAAGUGCACCGCCUGGGGAGUAUGCUCGCAAGGGUGAAACUCAAAGGAAUUGACGGGGGCCCGCACAAGCGGUGGAGCAUGU
rnacentral:rRNA from 1 species